rnacentral:rRNA from 1 species
ACUCCUACGGGAGGCAGCAGUGGGGAAUAUUGCACAAUGGGGGAAACCCUGAUGCAGCCAUGCCGCGUGUGUGAAGAAGGCCUUCGGGUUGUAAAGCACUUUCAGUAGGGAGGAAGGUAGUGUAGUUAACACCUGCAUUAUUUGACGUUACCUACAGAAGAAGCACCGGCUAACUCCGUGCCAGCAGCCGCGGUAAUACGGAGGGUGCGAGCGUUAAUCGGAAUUACUGGGCGUAAAGCGCAUGCAGGCGGCCUGUUAAGUCAGAUGUGAAAGCCCGGGGCUUAACCUCGGAAUUGCAUUUGAAACUGGCAGGCUAGAGUCUUGUAGAGGGGUUAGAAUUUCAGGUGUAGCGGUGAAAUGCGUAGAGAUCUGAAGGAAUACCAGUGGCGAAGGCGGCCCCUGGACAAAGACUGACGCUCAGAUGCGAAAGCGUGGGAGCAAACAGGAUUAGAUACCCCUGGUAGCGACUGA